CCUAGGGAGGCAGCAGUAGGGAAUAUUGCGCAAUGGACGGAAGUCUGACGCAGCGACGCCGCGUGAGCGAUGAAGGCCUUCGGGUUGUAAAGCUCUGUCCUUGGGGAAGAAGGUCUUCGGACUUGACGGUACCCAAGAAGAAAGCCCCGGCUAACUACGUGCCAGCAGCCGCGGUAAUACGUAGGGGGCGAGCGUUGUCCGGAAUUACUGGGCGUAAAGGGGGCGUAGGCGGUAAAAGAAGUCAUCUGUGAAAACCUAUUGCUCAACGAUAGGCUAGCGGAUGAAACUGAAUUACUUGAGGGCACCAGAGGUAGACGGAAUUACCCGAGUAGGGGUGAAAUCCGCAGAUACGGGUAGGAACGCCGGUGGAGAAGUCGGUCUACUGGGGUGCACCAGACGCUGAGGCCCGAAAGCUAGGGGAGCAAACCGGAUUAGAUACCCUGGUAGUC
rnacentral:rRNA from 1 species